UACGAAGGGGGCGAGCGUUGUUCGGAAUUACUGGGCGUAAAGGGCGCGUAGGCGGCCGAUCAAGUCAGAUGUGAAAGUCCUGGGCUUAACCUGGGGACUGCAUUUGAUACUGAUUGGCUUGAAUGCAGGAGAGGAUAGCGGAAUUCCCAGUGUAGAGGUGAAAUUCGUAGAUAUUGGGAAGAACACCGGUGGCGAAGGCGGCUAUCUGGACUGUGAUUGACGCUGAGGCGUGAAAGCGUGGGGAGCAAACGGG
rnacentral:rRNA from 1 species